rnacentral:rRNA from 1 species
GUGUCACCAGCCGCGGUAAUACAUAGGUGGUGAGCGUUCUCCCGAUUUAUUGUGCGUAAAGCGAGCGCAGGCGGUUUCUUAAGUCUGAUGUGAAAGCCCCCGGCUCAACCUGGGAGGGUCAUUGGAAACUGGGAGACUUGAGUGCAGAAGAGGAGAGUGGAAUUCCAUGUGUAGCGGUGAAAUGCGUAGAUAUAUGGAGGAACACCAGUGGCGAAGGCGGCUCUCUGGUCUGUAACUGACGCUGAGGCUCGAAAGCGUGGGGAGCAAACAGGAUUAGAUACCCUGGUAGUCC